GGCCUGGUAGCACAGUGUAGGGUGCCUGCUUCAGUUAAAGCAAUAAGCUGUCAGCGUUAGCGGGAGGUCCUCGUUCGAAUCGGGGUCAGGCCA